AUUGAACGCUGGCGGCAGGCCUAACACAUGCAAGUCGAGCGGAUGAAGGGAGCUUGCUCCUGGAUUCAGCGGCGGACGGGUGAGUAAUGCCUAGGAAUCUGCCUGGUAGUGGGGGAUAACGUCCGGAAACGGGCGCUAAUACCGCAUACGUCCUGAGGGAGAAAGUGGGGGAUCUUCGGACCUCACGCUAUCAGAUGAGCCUAGGUCGGAUUAGCUAGUUGGUGGGGUAAAGGCCUACCAAGGCGACGAUCCGUAACUGGUCUGAGAGGAUGAUCAGUCACACUGGAACUGAGACACGGUCCAGACUCCUACGGGAGGCAGCAGUGGGGAAUAUUGGACAAUGGGCGAAAGCCUGAUCCAGCCAUGCCGCGUGUGUGAAGAAGGUCUUCGGAUUGUAAAGCACUUUAAGUUGGGAGGAAGAGAAGUAAGUUAAUACCUUGCUGUUUUGACGGUACCAACAGAAUAAGCACCGGCUAACUUCGUG
rnacentral:rRNA from 1 species